rnacentral:rRNA from 2 species
UACGUAGGGGGCGAGCGUUGUCCGGAAUCAUUGGGCGUAAAGCGCGUGUAGGCGGCUCGAUAAGUCCGGUGUGAAACCUUGGGGCUCAACCCCAAGCCUGCACUGGAUACUGUCGAGCUAGAGUCCGGGAGGGGAGAGCGGAAUUCCUAGUGUAGCGGUGAAAUGCGCAGAUAUUAGGAAGAACACCGGUGGCGAAGGCGGCUCUCUGGAACGGUACUGACGCUGAGACGCGAAAGCGUGGGGAGCAAACAGG